rnacentral:tRNA from 1 species
UGGACAUCUAGUUGACGUGUAGAAAAAUUUGGUUUUUCGUAGAAAGUCAAU